UACAGAGGGUGCGAGCGUUAAUCGGAAUUACUGGGCGUAAAGGGCGCGUAGGUGGUUAGUUAAGAUUGAUGUGAAAUCCCUGGGCUUAACCUAGGAAUGGCAUCGAUGACUGGCUAGCUGGAGUACUGUAGAGGGUAGUGGAAUUUCCGGUGUAGCGGUGAAAUGCGUAGAGAUCGGAAGGAACACCAGUGGCGAAGGCGACUAUCUGGACAGAUACUGACACUGAGGCGCGAGAGCGUGGGUAGCAAACAGG
rnacentral:rRNA from 1 species